rnacentral:tRNA from 1 species
CGGGAUGUAUGGCACCUGGAAUCGAACUUGAAUGGCAUUCAAGAGGUCAAGGGUUCAAUUCCCUUUAGCUCCACCA